UUGCAAGAUUUAAGAUACUAAGCAUGGUGCUUUACAGAAACAGGGUAAAACCUGAUCAAUGAAAUUAGAGAUUCUUUUUAUAGCUUCAGAGCAGUGGCUUUGCAAGAGCUGUAUGACUCUCCUGGUGUUCCUACUGAGAAGAGAGAGCAAAGCCCGAGUACUGCCUUCCUUUCUACAUCUCUUUCUUAUGUCAAAUCAAACUUGAUUUUUAAUAAUAAAGAUGUAUCCCAGAUAUUUAGCUUUCAGAUAAAGUAAAGCCCAGAUGUGUCACUUUGGGAAGCUAAUCGGUUCUGGUGAGGAAUGUUUUAUUAACCAUUAUCACCAAAAUUUUUCUUAUAAAAAUAUUAAGAUAUUGGUGGCAAUAAGGGGAGGAUGGGACCCCAUUUUUCUUUUCGUUCUGCUUUCCCUGCCAAGUUCGCUGUAUUGAUUACUCUCAUUGUCAUUGUGACCAAAUUCCUAUGAAGAGGAAACUUGGCAGAGGAAGGGUGGUUUUGGCUCAUAGUUGGAGGUGAGACAGUCCAUCGUUGUAGGGAAGGCAUGACCCAGAAGUGGGAAGCAGCUAGUCUUGUGUUCAGUCAGGGGACAGCAGACAGCAACUGGAGACUAAGCCAUAUGACCUCAAGGUCUGCCCCAAGUGACUCCCUUCCUCUACUGAGACUCCAUGGUUCUAAGUUUUCACAUCCUAUCAAAACAGCUCCACCAGGGGUCGGGUCGGGUGGGGCUGAAUGUUCAGGAGUGUGAGUAGGUGAAGGGUAUUUCACAUUCAAAUGGGAAGGAGUAGGGGCUUCAGAGAAGGGAGUUUACUACAUUACAGAAAGAGAUGUGUGUGCCAUGGUCUUGGCAGAAUGAGGAGAAAGGAGAGGGAAAGGAGGGCUUGGCCAAACACUGUGGUGUGACUGACCCAUGUAAAUGCUUCAUUUCUCCGGAUUCCAUUUGUAGGAGUCAAGUCUCAAGUAGUAAGCAUGGUUUCCAGUAUCUUUAGUGUGAGAAUCAGCUGAGGUUUAUGGUAAGGAACAGCCCAGGCUGUUCUAUGUCCUUAUUGCUGACGUCAAGGGAGAAGGAAACCCAACUGGUAAUUACAAAUAGGAUUGACCAUGAGCAAUGUUGGUCACAGACUCUCAGCCUGACUGUGGGAUUUUCAGAAGUUUACAAAGAACAUACAAUUCUCUGUAUGUUCUAAGAGCCAGCCCCCAGGUAAAGGCUUGGUCGUGUGAUUUUCCAGAAUUUCUUCCCACCAAAAUCAGUACUUAGGUGUUUUGAGCAUGGUCUGAGAGCUAGGAAGACAUAUUUCCUGGUCAUACAAAUCUGUGUCUAGAAACAGACUGGGUUAAGGUGCAAUCAUUCCACUUUGCCUUCAGAGUCCAGUGAGGUUAUUGGGCAAUAAACGAGUGAAUGUCUUACAUUUCUUCAGCGUGGCAGGCGUUUGGAUUAUACUUCGAUUAGGCGAGGUACAGUGUAUGAAAGGAUAAACUUUUCUCAAGCAGUGGAAUAAAAAAGAAAUUCAC
rnacentral:lncRNA from 1 species